AAUCUGGUGGCCUAGUGGUUAGAGCGUCCGGCUCGGAUGCGGGUAGUCGCGGGUUCGAUCCCCAGUCGAUUCA